rnacentral:rRNA from 1 species
ACCUCGGGAAAUCGUGGCUAAUACCGGAUAUGAUUUUCCACCGCAUGGUGGUUUCUGGAAAGUUUUUCGGUGAGGGAUGGACUCGCGGCCUAUCAGUUUGUUGGUGAGGUAAUGGCUCACCAAGGCGAUGACGGGUAGCCGGCCUGAGAGGGCGACCGGCCACACUGGGACUGAGACACGGCCCAGACUCCUACGGGAGGCAGCAGUGGGGAAUAUUGCACAAUGGGCGAAAGCCUGAUGCAGCGACGCCGCGUGAGGGAUGACGGCCUUCGGGUUGUAAACCUCUUUCAGCAGGGAAGAAGCGAAAGUGACGGUACCUGCAGAAGAAGCGCCGGCUAACUACGUGCCAGCAGCCGCGGUAAUACGUAGGGCGCAAGCGUUGUCCGGAAUUAUUGGGCGUAAAGAGCUUGUAGGUGGCUUGUCGCGUCUGCCGUGAAAACCCGAGGCUCAACCUCGGGCGUGCGGUGGGUACGGGCAGGCUAGAGUGUGGUAGGGGAGACUGGAACUCCUGGUGUAGCGGUGAAAUGCGCAGAUAUCAGGAAGAACACCGAUGGCGAAGGCAGGUCUCUGGGCCAUUACUGACACUGAGAAGCGAAAGCAUGGGGAGCGAACAGGAUUAGAUACCCUGGUAGUCCAUGCCGUAAACGUUGGGCACUAGGUGUGGGGGACAUUCCACGUUCUCCGCGCCGUAGCUAACGCAUUAAGUGCCCCGCCUGGGGAGUACGGCCGCAAGGCUAAAACUCAAAGGAAUUGACGGGGGCCCGCACAAGCGGCGGAGCAUGCGGAUUAAUUCGAUGCAACGCGAAGAACCUUACCAAGGCUUGACAUGCACCGGACAGCCCCAGAGAUGGGGUCUUCUUCGGACUGGUGCACAGGUGGUGCAUGGUUGUCGUCAGCUCGUGUCGUGAGAUGUUGGGUUAAGUCCCGCAACGAGCGCAACCCUCGUUCCAUGUUGCCAGCGCGUUAUGGCGGGGACUCAUGGGAGACUGCCGGGGUCAACUCGGAGGAAGGUGGGGACGACGUCAAAUCAUCAUGCCCCUUAUGUCUUGGGCUUCACGCAUGCUACAAUGGCCGGUACAAAGGGUUGCGAUACUGUGAGGUGGAGCGAAUCCCAAAAAGCCGGUCUCAGUUCGGAUUGGGGUCUGCAACUCGACCCCAUGAAGUCGGAGUCGCUAGUAAUCGCAGAUCAGCAACGCUGCGGUGAAUACGUUCCCGGGCCUUGUACACACCGCCCGUCAAGUCACGAAAGU